rnacentral:piRNA from 1 species
UCUGUAGCAGAGGUUGGUGUUUGC